AUGUUGGCUUAGAAGCAGCCAUCAUUUAAAGAAAGCGUAACAGCUCACUGGUCUAAUUAAGAGAUCCUGCGGCGAAAAUGUAACGGGGCUAAAGUGAUGCACCGAAGCUUAGGGUUCAGCGCAAGCUGAGCGGUAGCGGAGCGUUCCGUAAGCCUGUGAAGCGAUCUGGUAAUGGGUCGUGGAGGUAUCGGAAGUGCGAAUGCUGACAUGAGUAGCGACAAAGAGGGUGAGAUGCCCUCUCGCCGAAAGACCAAGGGUUCCUGCUUAAAGCUAAUCUGAGCAGGGUAAGCCGGCCCCUAAGACGAGCCCGAAGGGGGUAGUCGAUGGGAACCACGUUAAUAUUCGUGGGCCUGGAGAUGUGUGACGGAUCUCUUACGUUGUAUGUCCUUAUCGGAUUGGACAUGCUUCCACGAGGUUCCAGGAAAUAGCCUCUCCGUAUAGACCGUACCCGAAACCGACACAGGUGGUCAGGUAGAGUAUACCAAGGCGCUUGAGAGAAGUAUCCUGAAGGAACUCGGCAAAUUGCCUCCGUACCUUCGGAAGAAGGAGGCCCCACUUCUGCGCAAGCAGUUGUGGGGGGCACAGGCCAGGGGGUAGCGACUGUUUAGCAAAAACACAGGACUCUGCUAAGUCGGCUUCAAGACGACGUAUAGGGUCUGACGCCUGCCCGGUGCCGGAAGGUUAAGAGGAGGAGUGCAAGCUCCGAAUUGAAGCCCCGGUAAACGGCGGCCGUAACUAUAACGGUCCUAAGGUAGCGAAAUUCCUUGUCGGGUAAGUUCCGACCUGCACGAAUGGCGUAACGACUUCCCCACUGUCUCCAGGAUAUGCUCAGCGAAAUUGAAUUCUCCGUGAAGAUGCGGAGUACCCGCGGUUAGACGGAAAGACCCCGUGCACCUUUACUGCAGCUUCAGAGUGGCAUUAGGAAAGAAUUGUGUAGCAUAGGUGGGAGGCUUUGAAGCACCGGCGCCAGCUGGUGUGGAGCCAUAGGUGAAAUACCACCCUGUUGUUUUCUGAUGUCUAACCCAGAACCGUUAUCCGGUUCGGGGACCCUCUGUGGCGGGUAGUUUGACUGGGGCGGUCGCCUCCUAAAGAGUAACGGAGGCGCGCGAUGGUAGGCUCAGGCCGGUUGGAAACCGGCUGUUAGAGUGCAAUGGCAUAAGCCUGCCUGACUGCGAGACUGACGAGUCGAGCAGAGACGAAAGUCGGUCAUAGUGAUCC
rnacentral:rRNA from 1 species